GAGUUUGAUCUUGGCUCAGAUUGAACGCUGGCGGCAGGCCUAACACAUGCAAGUCGAGCGGAUGACGGGAGCUUGCUCCUUGAUUCAGCGGCGGACGGGUGAGUAAUGCCUAGGAAUCUGCCUGGUAGUGGGGGGACAACGUUUCGAAAGGAACGCUAAUACCGCAUACGUCCUACGGGAGAAAGCAGGGGACCUUCGGGCCUUGCGCUAUCAGAUGAGCCUAGGUCGGAUUAGCUAGUUGGUGGGGUAAUGGCUCACCAAGGCGACGAUCCGUAACUGGUCUGAGAGGAUGAUCAGUCACACUGGAACUGAGACACGGUCCAGACUCCUACGGGAGGCAGCAGUGGGGAAUAUUGGACAAUGGGCGAAAGCCUGAUCCAGCCAUGCCGCGUGUGUGAAGAAGGUCUUCGGAUUGUAAAGCACUUUAAGUUGGGAGGAAGGGCAGUAAGUUAAUACCUUGCUGUUUUGACGUUACCGACAGAAUAAGCACCGGCUAACUCUGUGCCAGCCGCCG
rnacentral:rRNA from 1 species